UACGUAGGGGGGCGAGCGUUGUCCGGAGUUACUGGGCGUAAAGCGCACGCAGGCGGUCUGCUAAGUUUGGAGUGACAGUUGGUGGCUUAACUGCCAAAGUGCUUCGAAAACUGACAGACUUGAGGGCUUCAGAGGGACACGGAAUUCCGGGUGGAGUGGUGAAAUGCGUAGAGAUCCGGAGGAACACCAAAGGCGAAGGCAAUGUUCUGCUCGGUUCUGACGCUCAG
rnacentral:rRNA from 1 species